GGACCCGCACAAGCAGCGGAGCAUGUGGUUUAAUUCGAAGCAACGCGAAGAACCUUACCAGGGCUUGACAUGCCCCUGACCGCUCUAGAGAUAGGGCCUUCCCUUCGGGGACAGGGGACACAGGUGGUGCAUGGUUGUCGUCAGCUCGUGUCGUGAGAUGUUGGGUUAAGUCCCGUAACGAGCGCAACCCUUGUCUUUAGUUGCUAACAGGUUAAGCUGAGCACUCUAGAGAGACUGCCGAUGACAAAUCGGAGGAAGGUGGGGAUGACGUCAAAUCAUCAUGCCCUUUAUGUCCUGGGCUACACACGUGCUACAAUGGUCGGUACAACGAGCAGCUACACAGCGAUGUGAUGCUAAUCUCUUAAAGCCGAUCUCAGUUCGGAUUGCAGGCUGCAACUCGCCUGCAUGAAGUCGGAGUUGCUAGUAAUCGCGAAUCAGCAUGUCGCGGUGAAUGCGUUCCCGGGUCUU
rnacentral:rRNA from 1 species